CUUUAGUUAAAAUGCCUGGCCAGGUAACUUCUUAAUUAUUGUAUCUAUUUAAUUAAGGAUUCCCCUUUAAGAAGGCUGAACUCCCAUGAGCCUUCUUUUUUAAACAGGUAGAGGGUGGAAGGGAGGCAGGUUUUGUGUUCUGGGUUCCUCCAUUUUGUGUAUGGUGGUGUGGUUUGUGUGCAGGUUCUGAAUGGGUUCCAGUUGUAUUUCAAGAUUUUAUCUACAAGAAAAUUAUAUUAAAUAAGAACUAUACCUACCUUGGAGCAUCUCUUGGACAACUUGUUGCUGUUGGACUGCCACUGGAACUACAGAAUAAGCAUCAACAAACAAACAAACAAACAAACAGUCGGGUCUGUGAGGAUGAGAAGGUCUCCACAGUCUGGAGUCUGGUCUCUGACAGGCUCAACAUACCUGUCAAUCAACAGGGACUCCUCUACAAACGCAAGGCGCUGGCAGGUAGGCUGAACAGCACAGCACAGCACAGCACAGCUCACCCCUCGCCUCACCCCUCCUCACCUCGGGUCAGUGUGGCACAGCCUGCCUGCUCUUCUGAACAAACACUUCAGCUCUGCCGACGCAGUGAGAGUCUGGAGCAGCAACACAAGGUAAUGAAGUGACACUUUGAAUAUGGGGCCUGAUGAGAGAAGUAUCCUUUUCAUGUGGUUUUGGUUUUGCCGUUGUGAGCAGGUGUGGGAGACAGCACCGUGUCUGCAUGUGAAAUAACAAAGUCAUCGCAGUGGAGGGACUCUCUGAAGGCUGCUGUUUGUGGAUUUGUCUUGUAAUGUGAGUGAUCUACUGUACUGUGAUGCCACUGUCUGUACGCACGCUGCACUGUAGGAGAGACACCGCUAGCAUUCACAGGGCAUGCUUGUUCAUUUAAAGCACUACUUUAAAGACCCAUAUGACUUCAUAGAAAAAAUUAAAACAUUCAAACUACCAGAAACAGCUUUUCUCUUCACAAUAGAUAGACAGCUUGUACACAAACAUAGAGACCAACACAGGCAUUGCAGCUAUCAGGAACUGUCUAAAUCUAAAUCCAGAUCCAACCGGACGAGGAACUGAACUCCUGUAAAUCAGCUUAACGAAAAACGACUUUGAAAUCGACAGCCAGUUCUACCUCCAAACCAAAGGAACAGCGAUGGGGAAACGCUUUGCGCCAUCAUAUGCUAACAUCUACAUGGCCGAUUGGGAAGAAACAAUCCUCCCCAGAUGCCCACACAGACCAACUCACUAUUUCAGGUACCUAGAUGACAUUUGGGGCACUUGGACACAUAGCAUGGAGGAAUUUACAAAUUUCAUCUCGUUACAUAACAGCGAAGUAAACUUUUUAUACACCACCACUUACAAAGGACCACAUUUUUCACAAACACACCAACUAGACACCAAAGUAUAUUUUAAAGAAAGACACACACGACAGCCAUAGGCUCUGUUUGAGGAGCCAAUUACGUAUGUCAAACAAGGAGCAUAUUUGAUCCAAUCAAAAGUGAUUGAAGGUAAUAAAACAUGUUAUUUUAAAAUACUGCGUGGACACAGCAGUUCCACUUAGUCACCACUGUGUGGCAGCAUUGAUAAUGAAAUAUUUAACAGUUUUGCAGUGCAGGAAAAUAAAUGGCACCUCGCAUUUUAUCAUGUUUGACGUCUACUGCCUUAAAUAUUUAAACUGGGGGGGGAUAACGACAGCUUGAUUUGCCUGAGGCUUGUUAACCACAAUCCCAGGGGUUUGAUUUCAGAUGCAAGGAAAAAAAAAAAAAAAAAGUCUUGCCUAAUGAAUAUUUACACUAGAAUACAGAAUUAACCAAACAAAUAAGAGAUAAAAACUUU